rnacentral:lncRNA from 1 species
UUUCUCCCCUCAAAAUGGCUCGUUUUCCCCCCAAAACAGCAUUUUCCAGCCCCAAAAUGGCCUUUUUUUGCCCCCAAAUGACCCUUUUCCCCCAAAAAACCAACCAUUUUUGCCCCAAAAUUGGCCAUUUUUGCCCUAAAUGCCCAUUUUCCCCCCAAAAAUGACCAUUUUCUCCCCCAAAUAGACCCUUUUUGCCCCUAAACUGGCCAUUUUUGCCCCAAAAUGGCCCUUUUUCCCCCCAAAAUUGCCCCUUUUCCCCCAAAAAUUGCCCUUUUUGCCCCAAAACAGCUCAUUUCCAGCCCCAAAAUGGCCUUUAUUGCCCCAAAAAUGGGCUCUUUGCACCCCAAAAUGGCCUUUUUUGCCCCAAAAUGACCCAUUUCCAGCUCCAAAAUGACCAUUUUUGCCACCAAAACACCCAUUUUCCCCCACAAAUUGACCCUUUUUGCCCCAAAACUGGCCAUUUUUGCCCCAAAAUGCCCCUUUUCCACCCAAAAAACGACACUUUUGGCCCCAAAAUGGCCUUUUUUGCCCCUAAAAUGACCUUUUUUUGCCCAAAAUUGCCCCUUUUUGCCCCAAAAUGCCCCAUUUCCAGCCCAAAAAUGGCCUUUUUUGACCCCAAAACACCCAUUUCCCCCCCCAAAUUGACCCUUUUUGCCCCAAAAUGGCCAUUUUUGCCCCAAAAUGGCUCUUCUUCCCCCCAAAACAGCUCAUUUCCAGCCCCAAAAUGGCCUUUUUGCCCCAAAAAUGGCCUUUUUUUGCCCCCCAAAUGACCUUUUUUUGCCCAAAAUUGCCCCUUUUUGCCCCAAAAUGCCCCAUUUCCAGCUCCAAAAUGGCCCUUUUUGCCCCCAAAAUGGCCAUUUUUGCCCCAAAAUGCCCCAUUUCGAGCCCCAAAAUGGCCUUUUUUGCCCCCAAAAUGGCCUUUUUUUGCCCAAAAAACGACCCUUUUUGCCCCAAAAUUGGCCUUUUUUGCCCCAAAAUGGCCCUUCUCCCCACCAAAACAAGUCAUUUCCAGCCCCAAAAUGCCCCUUUUUGCCCAAAAUUGCCCGUUUUUACCCCAAAAUGCCCCAUUUCCAUCCCCAUAACGUUCCUAUUCGGCUCCUUUCCCCCCCAUUGGGGCCUUAUGACUCUUAUUAAUUCAAUCUGCCCCAAAAACCCACUUUUUUACCCCAAAAAAAGCCCUAUUUUCUGGCUUUGUGCUUCAAACAGCCCCAAAACCAGCGUUUUUCACCCCAAAAUCAGCCCCUAUGGAGCCCUAAAGGCCCUAAAAUCGGCCUUUUUAACCCCAAAAACGACCCAUUUCAGCCUCAAAAUGGAGCUUUUUGUUCCCGGUCCCAAAAUUGCCCUUUUUAGCCCCAAAAUGGGGCUGAUUUCGGACCUUUAGAUUUAAGGAUUUUGGUUAAAAAUAGACAAUUUUAAACCCCAAAAAUGGCCCCAAAUUCCCAAAAUGGCCCUUUUUGACCCCAAAAUUUCUUCACUUUUUUCACUAAUGUACCAAAAUUGCCGUUUUUCACCCCAAAAUCAGCCCCUAUGGAGCCCAAUGUGGCUCCUUAAAGCCCUAAAAUCGGCCUUUUUAACCCCAAAAACGACCCAUUUCAGCCUCAAAAUGGAGCUUUUUGUUACCAGUCCCAAAAUUGCCCUUUUUAGCCCCAAAAUGGGGCUGAUUUAGAAUUCAAGAUUUUGGUUAAAAAUAGACAAUUUUUAAUGCCAAAAAUGGUCAUUUUUGGUUCUUUUUUUAAUGCUUUUGACCCCAAAAAUGGCCCCAAAUUCCCAAAAUGGCCCUUUUUGACCCCAAAAUUUCUUCACUUUUUUCACUCCUUAUUUACCAAAAUUGCCUUUUUUCACCCCAAAAUCUUCCCCUAUGGAGCCCUAAAGGCCCUAAAAUCGGCCUUUUUCACCCCAAAAUCAGCCCCUAUGGAGCCCUAAAAUCGGCCUUUUUCACCCCAAAAACGACCCAUUUCGGCCUCAAAAUGGAGCUUUUUGUUACCAGUCCCAAAAUUGCCCUUUUUAGCCCCAAAAUGGGGCUGGUUUCGGACCUUUAGAAUUCAGGAUUUUGGUUAAAAAUAGAUGAUUUUCUACCCCAAAAAUGGUCAUUUUUGGUUCUUUUUUUAACGCUUUUGACCCCCAAAAUGGCCCCAAAUUCCCAAAAUGGCCCUUUUUGACCCCAAAAUUUCUUCACUUUUUUAACUCAUGUACCCAAAUUGCCUUUUUUCACCCCAAAACGAGCUCCGGCCCUAAAAUAAACUCCGGCCUUAAAAUAGAAGCA